rnacentral:lncRNA from 1 species
AUCCGCUACUCUUGAUUCUCUCUCAACUGAUCCGGUUUCCCUCUGCGCGCGCCCACCGCCCUGGCCCUCGCUCACUGUGGCCCGAACCCUCGCCUUCCAGAGGGAAGGCCCGGUUCAUCCCUGGGAAGGUACAGGAGGCUCGAGACCUUCUAAAGCAGCUGCCGCGCAGGAGCAGGCCCUAGAACAGACGGAAGGCGGACCCGGCGCCGCGGAACGGAGGAUAGCGUCGGCUUCCUGCCGUUGGGCCUAGCCACCCGCCAGCGACGCCCGCCGGAGGGAGGGAUUGAGGGAGGGAGGGAGUCCAGAGGCCGGGGGAACGUGCGAGCAGAGGCGCGGCCACCGCAUCCGUGGCCAGGAUCUCGUGGCCCGCCGAGACGGUCGAAUUGUGGAGGCAGCCCGCAGCGGCGUGGCCUUCAGAGUCUCUGCAUUUGGUGAAGAACUUAAGUUUUCAAUGUGAGUGCUCAUAAGAACAUUUCCUUUGCCUGCCAGCCCAGUAAAGGAUAGAGAACAAAAUGUUUUCUUAGCAAUCAAAACAUGUUCUUUCCUUUGGUCCCCUACCAAAUAAGUCUGACUUGCCGGCUCAUAGUAGUAUUGCUUGUACCAAGACGCACAGGACUCAUAAACCAAAGAUGAAGAUGUGACCCCCCCAAGGCCCUUGUCGUCAAGGAAUUUAUUGCCUGUUCAGUGAGAUGAAUGAAUGAAUAUCACUAUUAAUUUUACCAAGCACUUAAAAAACAUUUUCUGCACCCAUGAAAGUUAUGCAAAAUAGUUUGGAUGAUAAAAUGAUGACGAAGAUAAAUAUUCUAGCACCCAAGUUAAGGGUGUAAAGACAGUAUCGCACUGGCCUCUUCUACCUUAUUAGGCGACACUGGAGACAUCUACGUCUACAGUCACUUGAGAAAUUUUUUACCUACGGGUUGAAUUUGAAUUUCUGGGUGUUCGCUUUGGUUUAUGAUAUUCAACUUUUAUUCAGGGGAUUUCCAAAUAGAUCAGGGGCGGGGCUGCUGACCUAAGGAGAGGAGAAAGUUUUGAGAGAAGUUUUAGUAGAUCACAGCUGUGCAUCAGUGGAGUCCCACUGAUACUAGGGGAGAAAUAGACAGUGCUGGGAAUGGGGCAAUCCUGCCAGGUGUUUUUGAUGUUAUGCCUACAGAAAAUAAAUUUGCGUUAGCCAUAUGAAUUUAAG